rnacentral:rRNA from 1 species
CCUACGGGUGGCUGCAGUGAGGAAUAUUGGUCAAUGGGCGCUAGCCUGAACCAGCCAAGUAGCGUGAAGGAUGACUGCCCUAUGGGUUGUAAACUUCUUUUAUAUGGGAAUAAAGUGCAGUAUGUAUACUGCUUUGCAUGUACCUUAUGAAUAAGGAUCGGCUAACUCCGUGCCAGCAGCCGCGGUAAUACGGAGGAUCCGAGCGUUAUCCGGAUUUAUUGGGUUUAAAGGGUGCGUAGGCGGUUUUUUAAGUUAGUGGUUAAACGUCGGGGCUUCACCUUGAUUUGCCAUUAAUACUGUAAGACUCGAGUUCAGACGAGGUAGGCGGAAUAAGUUAAGUAGCGGUGAAAUGCUUAGAUAUAACUUAGAACUCCGAUAGCGAAGGCAGCUUACCAGACUGCGACUGACGCUGAAGCACGAGAGCGUGGGUAGCGAACAGGAUUAGAUACCCGAGUAGUC